rnacentral:rRNA from 1 species
UACAGAGGUCCCAAGCGUUGUUCGGAUUCACUGGGCGUAAAGGGUGCGUAGGUGGCAGGGUAAGUUUGAUGUGAAAUCUCCGGGCUUAACCCGGAAACUGCAUUGAAUACUAUCCUGCUCGAGGUUUGGAGGGGGGACUGGAAUUCUCGGUGUAGCAGUGAAAUGCGUAGAUAUCGAGAGGAACACCAGUGGCGAAGGCGAGUCCCUGGACAACACCUGACACUGAGGCACGAAAGCUAAGGGAGCAAACAGG